AUAAAAGGCACGAGAAUGAUUGGCACAACCAACAACAUGCCCACGAAACACAAUAAUCUCUAGAUCCUGAAUGCUCCAAAAAGACACUAGACAUUCCAGAAUUCAACUUAAAUAACAAUAAACUAACUACCAUGGACUCUCAGUCCACAUUAUGUUAGAAGUUUUAAUCUUUGCAGUCCUCUCUGCAAACCAGCAAUGAGGAGUCGUCUGCUCUUACUUCACUAAGUGAAUAACCAUUUUACUACUUUAUAAUAAUUGGUAGGAUAAGGUAUUAUCCUAUUCUGCCAUCGCAAUUGAAUAAAAUUUGCUUCUUUAUUUACAACUUAAUAAGAUAAGGUUGAGAAAUGAGAACCCAACUAGAUUAAUUUUUAUUCUAGAUUCCUGAUCUAUAUGUUUAGUUGUAGAAGGUUGCUUAAGCUCCAAGAAAUCAUUUAGAGUCUUAUUUCGUAAUGAUCUCGUACAUUUAUAGUUUAAGUUUUAGGACAUUUUGAUCAUGCACUCAUAAUACAUUUAUAGUUUUAAUUGUUGAGCUGAUAUAUGCCAAUAUAAGAAUCCUCAUUCAUUCAAUUUCAUUCAUUUCAUUCUAUCACUAUUUAUGAAUUGACUUUAUUUGACAGGCAUUAAAAAUAGAUAGGAGUUGGAUGAAAUUAAGACAUAGAUGGUGUAAAGAGUAUGUUAAUGGAGUUAAAGUGUUUAUUGAGUUUGUGAAGGAUCAUAUGGGUCAAGAUAAUAUGGUCCGGUGUCCUUGUCUUAAGUGCAUGAAUGCAUAUUACAGGCAUUUGGAUGAAGUGAAAGAUGAUUUGUAUAUAAAUGGAAUUCAAGGUACUUAUACACGGUGGAUAUUUCAUGGGGAAAAUUCAUCUUCCCAUGGUACUUAUCCGAUUGAUAAUAGCACCAAUAAUGAUGCAGGGGGUAAUGAUGGAAUGAAGGAUAAUGAAGAAGAGGAAGAAAAUGAAAUAUUGGAUAUGUUGAAUGACUUUCAAGGGGGAACUUUCACAAAUAUUAGAGAUAUAGACACAACUGGUAGCCAUCAGGCUUUCAAAAAAGAUGCACAACAAUUUGAUAGAUUGUUGAGGGAAGCACAACAUGAGUUGUAUCCAGGUUGCAAGAAUUUUUUGAUAUUAUCCUUUAUUGUAAAAUUGCUCCAUAUGAAAGUGCAUAAUCAUUGGAGUAACAAAUCAUUUGAUAUAUUACUUGAGUUAUUGAAUGAUGCUUUUUCUGAAGGAACAAUGCUCCCAAAGUCACAUUAUGAGGCUAAAAAGAUCUUACAAGACUUGGGAUUGGGGUAUAAGUGCAUUCAUGUUUGUAAAUAUGAUUGUGCAUUAUUUUGGAAGGAGCAUAAAGAUAAAGAUGAAUGUCCAGUGUGCAAAAUAUGUAGAUGAAAAAUAAAUGAUGGCAAAGAUAAGAAGAUCCCUCAUAAGAUCUUAUGCUAUUUUCUAUUAAAGUCAAGGUUGCAGAGAUUAUUUAUGUCAAGAUACAGCUUUAGAUAUGAGAUGUCAUGUUGAAAAACAUGUCGAUACAGAAGGGAUUUGAAGGCACCCAGUUGAUGCUGAAGCUUGGAGAUAUUUUGAUAGAUAGUAUCCUGUGUUUGCAAAUGAUCCCCGCAAUGUCAGACUCGGUCUUGCAUCUGAUGAUUUUAAUCCAUUUGGUAACAUGAGCAAUUCUUAUAGUAUGUGGUCGGUGAUACUUAUGUCAUAUAAUUUACCACCUUGGAAAACUAUGAAAGAGCUAUUUCUUAUGUUAUCAUUGCUAAUUCCUGGACCACAGGCUCCGAAAAAAGACAUUGAUGUUUAUUUGCGGCCUUUGAUAGAUGAAUUGAAGGAGUUAUGGAAAAAUGGUGUGGAUACAUAUGAUGCCUCAACUAAAUAAAUGUUUUUCUUGAAGGCGGCUAUUUUGUGGGCCAUAAAUGAUUUUCAUGCAUAUGGUAGUUUUUCAGGUUGGAGUACAAAAGGAUAUAUGGCAUGUCCAUGUUGCAAUGAGCAAACAUCAUCUAAGAGAUUGAGGAGUAAAAUUUGUUACAUGGGCGAUCGUCAAUAUCUUCCUUUAGAUCAUUGUUGGAGGAGUAAACUAUUUGAUGGUCAGCUGGAGGCUCGAUCCAAACCACAAAGAGUUGUCUGGGGAAGAUGUGUUACAACAAUUAGAUCGACCUUAAGAUUUGAAGUAUGGGAAGCAUCCAAAUAUGAGGAAAAGAAAAUGUACUCCUGAAGAAUUAAAUUAGACUAAAAAGAAUAUAUUCUUUGAGUUACCGUAUUGGUAUAAAUUAAAAUUAUGUCACAAUCUUGAUAUCAUGCACAUAGAGAAAAAUGUUUGUGAUAAUGUUUUAGGAACAAUCCUUAAUAUUGAGAGAAAAACAAAGGAUACUGUUAAAACACGAAUGGAUUUGGCUAAUAUGAAAAUAAUGAAAGAGCUACACUUGCAACCUUCAGGAAAUGGAUUUGUGAAGCCGCCUGCAUGUUAUGUAUUGAGUCAAAGGGAAAAGCAAAGCUUAUUGGAAUUUUUGAAAUCUGUUAAGUUUCCUGAUGGCUAUGCUUCAAACAUAUCAAGGAAUGUAAGUGUGGAAGAUGGUAAGAUUUCAGGGUUAAAAAGUCAUGACUAUCAUGUAUUGUUGCAACGUCUGCUUCCUGUUGGAAUACGUGGAUACUUGCAUAAAGAUGUGGUGACUGCAUUGGUUGAGUUAGUAAAUUUUUUCCACGAGUUAUGUGCUAAGACAUUGAACGUCAAAGAAUUGGACACAUUAUAAGAAAAGGUGGUUGGAAAAACUUUUUCCACCUGCAUUUUUUGAUGUCAUGAUCCACUUGAUAGUUCACUUACUAGAAGAAGCCAAACUUGGUGGGCUGGUGCAAAAUAGAUGGAUGUUUCCAAUUGAAUGAAAUCUGGGUGACUUGCAAGAUUAUGUGGGUAACAAAGCUCGUCCAGAGGAAUCAAUUGCUGAAGAAAUUAUGAAGGGGUUGAGGAGAAGCAAGGAAAGUUAUCUCUUUUCUCACAUAAAGUUCGUCCAUUUGGAUAUUUAGAGACUCAGUUUUUAAUACACACAGUGAUCGUGAUGUUAUUGCAUGGUAUGUCCUGAAUAAUUGCGAAGAAUUACGGCAUUCUUUUGAUAUUCAUAGGGACGAACUGAUGAAAGAAUGUGAUGAGAAUAUAGAUCAGAGACAACGAGAACAAUUUCCUCAAUGGCUUGAAAAACAUGUAUUCUCGUACGAUGGCACCAAGGUGUGGGCGAAAGCAGGUAAUAACUCCUACGACUCCAUCUGCAUCUACACCUUCAUCUCAUUUACAGCUACACCUACACCUACACCUACACCUGCGGUGACGGAGUUCACCAUCUAUGCCCUCCAAUAAUGCUAGCAUUGAUGUGGUCGUGGACUUACUCAAGGGGUUGGAUUAGAGAGGAUUGUGCGUAGGGUAGGGAGGUUACAUGUUAGCAUUCCUUCAGAUGAAGGAAGGCCGGUUGGAGAAAAUGCAGAGAAGUUUGUUUCAGAAUUGGGGUUUAUUGUUAGGAAUUUUGCCCCACUCCAAGUGCGUGGUCAGACCGAGAUUGCGAAGGGGGAUAAGAAUCCUCUUUAUGAUCGUAUGUUGUUUGAUAUUGAUCUCAAUGAGCCACAUGUGAAGUUAUGUUGUGAGAAUGAUGUAAAAAGCCUAUAGGGAUUUUCGACUUACUCUACAUAAACAUUAUAAGCAAUUUGAUACUCCUGAUGUGGCACAGCAUACACCUUGACCAAUGUACACCAAGAUGAUUGGGAUUUUCUUUGUAACUUGUUUGAGGAAGAAAAAUUUCAGAGAGAUUUAGAGACUGGGAAGGAGCCGGACAGAAUUCAGUUUUUCAAGCGCACAAGAUACAAUGAGAAAAGGGAUGGAUUUCAAAUGAGGCUGAAUCAAGAUAUAUAAAAAAAUAACUAAUUAUAUUUUUUUCUGCUAUUAUUCAUGAUUCAAGACAUUUUUGCUUUUAAUUACAGAAUUGGAUGAUGGAGUUGCAAGCCCAGUCUAUUGAAGAAGGGUCUUAGGUGCUGACUCAAAACCAAAUAUGUGAUACAGUUCUUGGGGCACGAUCAGGAUAUAUAUGUGGACUCGGGCAUGGGCCGAAACCUGUUGGCUCAUCUUCCAAAACUAGAGCUUUAGAGUCUUCCAACAGAGUUAUGUGAAGAGCUAGUAACACAAUGUGAACUGAUUCAGACAAUGAAAGCUCGACAAGAAAAGUUGGAGAGUUGGUGAGGAGAUUGUUGUCACCAUCAGCUCCAUCUGCUUCAUGAUUAGAAGAUGUUGGCCAUUGAAGAAGAUGUCAAGAACCGGCUCCAAGACUAGUUUCUGUUUUAGUAUUUUUUUUUUAUUUUAUGAGACAUGUAGUGCCUUUUGGCUACGUAAGACUAAUGAUAAUAUCAAGGACUUUCUUUUUA